rnacentral:misc_RNA from 1 species
UUUAAUACCGAUCACCAUAGACAAUGGGGGUGCGCGGAUUUGAGUCUCUGUAUUGUUAUAGUGAAUCCAGUGGUACAGGGCUACCCUGCCAGUCACAGCACACGGCUCCUGUAUAAACCGAGUGUACCAGAGGACACUUGCUAGAUUGGAAUCUUCUGAUGGCUAUCAAUCCCAGAACAAAUUCAACAUGGGAAUCGAAGAAGGGGCAGAUGUCGCUAAAACAGGUGUGUGAUGGCUAUUUAAGGGACUGGAAUCUAAGGACAACUAUCAGAUAACUUGAACUCUCUGCUCCCGACGUUCUCUUUCUGUGAGUUAGUGUGAUUCUGACGGUUAUCAACCAACAGACCUAACUGUAUUUACACAAACUUUGUGAUAUGCUUUUUAUAAUUUUUAUUGCACCAAAAACUUUCAAUUUUGACGGACAUGUACACAUUAUUUGUUUCGAUCCAGUUUACAAUAAAUCCAGCCGUCUAAAAUUUCUCGGUAAAAAAAAUCUUUGUUUUAAAAGAGGUGUUCAAUAUACUCUCACUUUGACUGGUGUAAACUAUAAAAAAGAACUCAUUCGAAAAUUUUUUUCCAGAAACAAUUUUUUGCAGAGUAGCAGGCUAUAAAUGACAUGUCCUAUCGACCUUUUCUCGCUAGUUGUUUAUAAGCUAUUGAUUGAUUUGCUUCUGUAGAUACAGAAAGAUGUAUUGUCCUUUACAAAUAUUAAAAUUCUUUUAAAUCAAAAUUUGUACAU